ensembl:lncRNA
UCUAGGUGUUGAUGGUUGUGUUGUAACAUGGUCCUAUAUGGGGUCUCUAGGUGUUGAUGGUUGUGUUGUAACAUGGUCCUAUAUGGGGUCUCUAGGAGGUGUUGAUGGUUGUGUUGUAACAUGGUCCUAUAUGGGGUCUCUAGGAGGUGUUGAUGGUUGUGUUGUAACAUGGUCCUAUAUGGGGUCUCUAGGUGUUGAUGGUUGUGUUGUAACAUGGUCCUAUAUGGGGUCUCUAGGUGGUGUUGAUGGUUGUGUUGUAACAUGGUCCUAUAUGGGGUCUCUAGGAGGUGUUGAUGGUUGUGUUGUAACAUGGUUCUAUAUGGGGUCUCUAGGAGGUGUUGAUGGUUCUGUUGUAACAUGGUCCUAUAUGGGGUCUCUAGGUGUUGAAACAUGGUCCUAUAUGGGGUCUGUAGGUGUU